rnacentral:rRNA from 1 species
ACUCAAAUGAAUUGACGGGGACCUGCACAAGCGGUGGAGCGUGUGAUUUAAUUCGAUAGCAAGCGAAGAACCUUACCCAGGCUUGACAUCCCGAGAAGUCUCUGGAAACAGAGAUGUGCCGCAAGGAACUCGGUGACAGGUGCUGCACGGUUGUCGUCAGCUCGUGCCGUGAGGUGUCCCGUUCAGUCGGUAAACGAGCGCAACCCCUAUUCUGUGUUAUACAUGUCACAGAAAACUGCCCGGGUUAACCGGGAGGAAGGCGGGGACGACGUCAAAUCAGCGUGGCUCUUACGCCUGGGGCGAUACACGCGCUACAAUGGGAUGUACAAUGGGUUGCCAAACCGUGAGGUGGAGCUAAUCCCACCAAAGCAUCCCCCAGUUCGGAUUGAAGGCUGCAACUCGCCUUCAUGAAGUCGGAAUCGCUAGUAACGGCCGGUCAGCCAUACGGCCGUGAAUACGUUCUCAGGUCUUGUACACACCGCCCGU